UGGGGAAUAUCGGACAAUGGGCGCAAGCCUGAUCCAGCCAUGCCGCGUGUGUGAAGAAGGCCUUUUGGUUGUAAAGCACUUUAAGCGAGGAGGAGGCUACUUGGAUUAAUACUCUAGGAUAGUGGACGUUACUCGCAGAAUAAGCACCGGCUAACUCUGUGCCAGCAGCCGCGGUAAUACAGAGGGUGCGAGCGUUAAUCGGAUUUACAGGGCGUAAAGCGUGCGUAGGCGGCUUUUUAAGUCGGAUGUGAAAUCCCUGAGCUUAACUUAGGAAUUGCAUUCGAUACUGGGAAGCUAGAGUAUGGGGGAGGAUGAUAGAAUUCCAGGUGUAGCGGUGAAAUGCGUAGAGAUCUGGAGAAAUACCGAUGGCGAAGGCAGCGAUCUGGCCUAAUACUGACGCUGAGGUACGAAAGCAUGGGGAGCAAACAGG
rnacentral:rRNA from 1 species